GAUGAACCCUUGCGGCGUGCCUAAUACAUGCAAGUCGAGCGAACAGAUAAGGAGCUUGCUCCUUUGACGUUAGCGGCGGACGGGUGAGUAACACGUGGGUAACCUACCUAUAAGACUGGGAUAACUUCGGGAAACCGGAGCUAAUACCGGAUAACAUUUGGAACCGCAUGGUUCUAAAGUGAAAGAUGGUUUUGCUAUCACUUAUAGAUGGACCCGCGCCGUAUUAGCUAGUUGGUAAGGUAACGGCUUACCAAGGCAACGAUACGUAGCCGACCUGAGAGGGUGAUCGGCCACACUGGAACUGAGACACGGUCCAGACUCCUACGGGAGGCAGCAGUAGGGAAUCUUCCGCAAUGGGCGAAAGCCUGACGGAGCAACGCCGCGUGAGUGAUGAAGGGUUUCGGCUCGUAAAACUCUGUUAUUAGGGAAGAACAAACGUGUAAGUAACUGUGCACGUCUUGACGGUACCUAAUCAGAAAGCCACGGCUAACUACGUGCCAGCAGCCGCGGUAAUACGUAGGUGGCAAGCGUUAUCCGGAAUUAUUGGGCGUAAAGCGCGCGUAGGCGGUUUCUUAAGUCUGAUGUGAAAGCCCACGGCUCAACCGUGGAGGGUCAUUGGAAACUGGGAAACUUGAGUGCAGAAGAGAAAAGUGGAAUUCCAUGUGUAGCGGUGAAAUGCGCAGAGAUAUGGAGGAACACCAGUGGCGAAGGCGACUUUCUGGUCUGUAACUGACGCUGAUGUGCGAAAGCGUGGGGAUCAAACAGGAUUAGAUACCCUGGUAGUCCACGCCGUAAACGAUGAGUGCUAAGUGUUAGGGGGUUUCCGCCCCUUAGUGCUGCAGCUAACGCAUUAAGCACUCCGCCUGGGGAGUACGACCGCAAGGUUGAAACUCAAAGGAAUUGACGGGGACCCGCACAAGCGGUGGAGCAUGUGGUUUAAUUCGAAGCAACGCGAAGAACCUUACCAAAUCUUGACAUCCUUUGAAAACUCUAGAGAUAGAGCCUUCCCCUUCGGGGGACAAAGUGACAGGUGGUGCAUGGUUGUCGUCAGCUCGUGUCGUGAGAUGUUGGGUUAAGUCCCGCAACGAGCGCAACCCUUAAGCUUAGUUGCCAUCAUUAAGUUGGGCACUCUAGGUUGACUGCCGGUGACAAACCGGAGGAAGGUGGGGAUGACGUCAAAUCAUCAUGCCCCUUAUGAUUUGGGCUACACACGUGCUGCAAUGGACAAUACAAAGGGCAGCUAAACCGCGAGGUCAUGCAAAUCCCAUAAAGUUGUUCUCAGUUCGGAUUGUAGUCUGCAACUCGACUACAUGAAGCUGGAAUCGCUAGUAAUCGUAGAUCAGCAUGCUACGGUGAAUACGUUCCCGGGUCU
rnacentral:rRNA from 1 species